rnacentral:rRNA from 1 species
AUUGAACGCUGGCGGCAUGCCUUACACAUGCAAGUCGAACGGUAACAGGUCUUCGGAUGCUGACGAGUGGCGAACGGGUGAGUAAUACAUCGGAACGUGCCCGAUCGUGGGGGAUAACGAAGCGAAAGCUUUGCCAAUACCGCAUAAGAUCUACGGAUGAAAGCAGGGGACCGCAAGGCCUUGCGCGAACGGAGGCGCCGAUGGCAGAUUAGGUAGUUGGUGGGAUAAAAGCUUACCAAGCCGACGAUCUGUAGCUGGUCUGAGAGGACGACCAGCCACACUGGGACUGAGACACGGCCCAGACUCCUACGGGAGGCAGCAGUGGGGAAUUUUGGACGAUGGGCGAAAGCCUGAUCCAGCCAUGCCGCGUGCAGGAUGAAGGCCUUCGGGUUGUAAACUGCUUUUGUACGGAACGAAAAGACUCUUUCUAAUAAAGAGGGUCCAUGACGGUACCGUAAGAAUAAGCACCGGCUAACUACGUGCCAGCCGCCGCGGUAAGAC